UUAUAAGAGACAGCAGCCGCCGCGGUAAUACAGAGGGUGCGAGCGUUACUCGGAAUUACUGGGCGUAAAGCGUGCGUAGGUGGUGGUUUAAGUCCGUUGUGAAAGCCCUGGGCUCAACCUGGGAAUUGCAGUGGAUACUGGGUCACUAGAGUGUGGUAGAGGAUAGUGGAAUUUCCGGUGUAGCAGUGAAAUGCGUAGAGAUCGGAAGGAACAUCUGUAGCGAAGGCGACUAUCUGGGCCAACACUGACACUGAGGCACGAAAGCGUGGGGAGCAAACAGGAUUAGAUACCCGCGUAGUCCCUGUCUCUUAUAC
rnacentral:rRNA from 1 species